GCAUAGAUGAAUACUGUGUUCUUAUCAGUAUUUUACAUAGCCAGACACCAUGCAAAAAAUUCCCCCAAAACCAAAAGAAAGCACUCUUCCCUUUAGCUUGUGAUUUUUUCCCCAUAGCAUAUCAUUAUCAAAGGUGAAUACAAAU